AAGUGAUUUUACAUCUUUACUAUGUUGGCAACUGUCUGAUAUAUAUUGGACUACAAUUAUCAAGUGAACAUACUGACAUUUGGCAUUUACUGUGUUUUCCUACCUGCACAUAUAUAUAUAUGUUAUAUACUCUUGUUUUAUGAAUGUAGGAUUGCCAUCGUGCUUGUGUAGCUGGCUGUGGUUUCAAGGUCAGUACUUUGUCAUUGAUCGGUCCUUUUCUGCUAUUGCUUGCACAAAAUUUCUCAACAAACAUGAGAUUGGUAGAAAUUUCUUUUAAUAAACUGCUUGUCAUCUGCAUUUCUAUGUUUCAUUUUAUUUAACUAUUUACUGUUUGUUAUGCAGUUUGAUAUCCCUUCUGAGAAAGUAAAUAAAAUCCAAUCAAACAGGUCGUCCAAGCCUCAUGUAGAAGAGGAGCCAACUGAUAAGAACAAGACCACCGCCUGAAGCCAGUUGAACUAUUAUGGCAAGCAUAUAUAUCCUGGAUAUUCACUUAAAUUACAAUGAAGAUAAUCUUGACAUUUUCUACAACUGAUUGUGUAAUAGGCAAGAGUAGCAU
rnacentral:lncRNA from 1 species